GGGUGUAGCAAUACACCAGCGGCGAAAGGGACAGUAAUAUGUAGGUCAUCUGCCCUCGGGACGGGGAUAGCCACGGGAAACUGUGGGUAAUACCCGAUGACAUCUUCGGAUCAAAGGUGUGAGUCCGCCCGGGGAUGAGCCUGCAUCCUAUUAGCUAGUUGGCGGGGUAACGGCCCACCGAGGCAUCGAUGGGUAGCGGGUGUGAGAGCACGACCCGCGUCAUUGGGACUGAGACACUGCCCAGACACCUACGGGUGGCUGCAGUCGAGAAUCUUCGGCAAUGGACGCAAGUCUGACCGAGCGACGCCGCGUGCGGGAUGAAGGCCUUCGGGUUGUAAACCGCUGUCAGUGGGGAGGAAGGCUUCGUGAAGAGCGAGGUUUGACCUAUCCGCAGAGGAAGUGAGGGCUAAGCUCGUGCCAGCAGCCGCGGUAAGACGAGCCUCACAAACGUUAUUCGGAAUUACUGGGCUUAAAGGGUGCGUAGGCGGCGCGGAAAGUUGGGUGUGAAAUCCCUCGGCUCAACCGAGGAAUUGCGCUCAAAACUACCGUGCUAGAGGGAGAUAGAGGAGCGCGGAACUUAGGGUGGAGCGGUGAAAUGCGUUGAUAUCCUAGGGAACACCGGUGGCGAAAGCGGCGCUCUGGAUCUCAUCUGACGCUGAUGCACGAAAGCUAGGGUAGCGAACGGGAUUAGAUACCCCGGUAGUCCUAGCCGU
rnacentral:rRNA from 1 species